UUGUCUGACUGACACCCAAGAUUGCCUUGUAAAUUCCCUCUGAAUAAAUAUUUGACUACUUACCAACCUUGAAGGGUCUGCCUCUUUCUUUGGCCUGAGCUUAUGAAGAGCAGUUCUUGGUUCUGACAAAGUGUUUUCCCAAUACAAAGGGUUUAGACCCUCUAAGGAUGCAUAACUAGCCAAGGCAGAAAACCAGUCUCUUUGCCACAUAAGAUUUUAAUUCCAACAUUACUCCACAAUUAAUUGAUAAUAUACUAUAUCAUCUUUAUUUUUACUAUUGUUAGUUAAAAAUGUGGGUUUUUUGUUUGUUUGUUUCUUUCAAGUCAAGAAUCUACUAUAGCUGUUUAUGGUCUAUCAUAUUAGAUCUAAAUUCCAGUUGUUAUUUAAAUUUUUCAAUCUAGUAUCACCUAAUAUGAAUUAUCUCUCCAAUUAAUUUGGUUUCAGGUUAUUUUUCACUGAAGCCAGGGAGUACAAAUUAGGUCUGAAACCUGUAAGUUUUAAAACAGGGUCUGCCUUGGGAAAUCUAGGGCAUCAGGUUCUUAGAUGAUAGGACAAUGCAAGCCAGGCAGUAGUGUCUUAGCUAAGCACCCUCUGAGCCAGUGAGCAGUUGGCUCUAUUUAAAUCAGUUAAAAAUAGACUAACCAGCAGUUAAAAUUUUCAGCACAGCAAAAAGCAGUGAGGACAAGGUUUAUUCUUUGAUCUCUAAAGGUUUGCUUCAUUGAGCCUGAUAAUGGUGCAUGACGUGAAGAAUGUUAGCUAUACUGUGGUCUCACAUUACCUUGGUUUUACUUAGUCAUCAGUGUAAUUUAUCUAAGGGCAACUUGCCGCUAAAAAAAGAGCUCAGCUUGAAGGCUUCUAGCUUACACAGCAGGAGUUUCUGGAAAUUUUACUGCUGGUGGUGGUGGAUAGAAGGCAGAGAUAUGGCCAGUAUCAAACGAGAUUAUGUCCUGGGAAUUCAGAGAUUACAGUCUGAAGAAUUCAAGACCACUGGCAGUGAAGUUGAGGAACCAGGGUUGAAAGAUGAAAGAGGUUUGACCUCCUUUAAAGAACCUUCAUAUCAUCUUGCCCUGCAUGAAAUGUAUUAGGAGCCUUCCCUCUGUUCUUUGAUAAUAUUUUUCAAAGAUAUUAUCAUUUACAAAAUGGAAUUCCAAUGACUUGUUCAUAUGUCCAUCUUCAAGUGGUCUGGGAAUACCAAUGACUUGUUCAUGUCCAUCUUCAAGUGGUCUGGGAAUACCAAUGACUUGUUCAUAUGUCCAUCUUCAAGUGGUCUGGGAAUACCAAUGACUUGUUCAUAUGUCCACCUUCAAGUGGUCUAUCAAGUAAGCAUGUACUUAUGCGAGUCUUUCCAGAGGAUAUCAUUAACCUGAGUCAAUAGUUGAGAAAACUAAUCAAAUGGAUGUAAGUCCAUGUUUUUAUUUGUAAAUAAAAGUUUUGCCAAAAAAUUACAUACAAAGAACAAUGUCUCAAGAGACAUGCGAUAAUCAAAAUCCACAAAAUAAUACUUACAUAUAUUUUUGUUUAGAGAUUUGAAUAAAUGAACUACAAUUUAAGGAGAAUAUUGCAUUUCUUUUGAGAUAACCCCUUAAAUUUUACAUUCUGUUUCAAGGC
ensembl:lncRNA